ACGAACGCUGGCGGCACGCUUAACACAUGCAAGUCGAACGAGAGAAGAGGAGCUUGCUUUUCUGAUCUAGUGGCGGACGGGUGAGUAACACGUGAGCAAUCUGCCUUUCAGAGGGGGAUACCGAUUGGAAACGAUCGUUAAUACCGCAUAACAUAAUUGAACCGCAUGAUUUGAUUAUCAAAGAUUUAUCGCUGAAAGAUGAGCUCGCGUCUGAUUAGCUAGUUGGUAAGGUAACGGCUUACCAAGGCGACGAUCAGUAGCCGGACUGAGAGGUUGAUCGGCCACAUUGGGACUGAGACACGACCCAGACUCCUACGGGAGGCAGCAGUGGGGAAUAUUGCACAAUGGAGGAAACUCUGAUGCAGCGAUGCCGCGUGAGGGAAGAAGGUUUUAGGAUUGUAAACCUCUGUCUUCAGGGACGAAAAAAGACGGUACCUGAGGAGGAAGCUCCGGCUAACUACGUGCCAGCAGCCGCGGUAAUACGUAGGGAGCGAGCGUUGUCCGGAAUUACUGGGUGUAAAGGGAGCGUAGGCGGGAUCGCAAGUCAGAUGUGAAAACUAUGGGCUUAACCCAUAAACUGCAUUUGAAACUGUGGUUCUUGAGUGAAGUAGAGGUAAGCGGAAUUCCUAGUGUAGCGGUGAAAUGCGUAGAUAUUAGGAGGAACAUCAGUGGCGAAGGCGGCUUACUGGGCUUUAACUGACGCUGAGGCUCGAAAGCGUGGGGAGCAAACAGGAUUAGAUACCCUGGUAGUCCACGCCGUAAACGAUGAUUACUAGGUGUGGGGGGACUGACCCCUUCCGUGCCGCAGCAAACGCAAUAAGUAAUCCACCUGGGGAGUACGACCGCAAGGUUGAAACUCAAAGGAAUUGACGGGGGCCCGCACAAGCAGUGGAGUAUGUGGAUUAAUUCGAAGCAACGCGAAGAACCUUACCAGGUCUUGACAUCGUAUGCAUAGCUCAGAGAUGAGUGAAAUCUCUUCGGAGACAUAUAGACAGGUGGUGCAUGGUUGUCGUCAGCUCGUGUCGUGAGAUGUUGGGUUAAGUCCCGCAACGAGCGCAACCCUUACUGUUAGUUGCUACGCAAGAGCACUCUAGCAGGACUGCCGUUGACAAAACGGAGGAAGGUGGGGAUGACGUCAAAUCAUCAUGCCCCUUAUGACCUGGGCCUCACACGUACUACAAUGGCUGUCAACAGAGGGAAGCAAAGCCGCGAGGUGGAGCAAACCCCUAAAAGCAGUCUUAGUUCGGAUUGUAGGCUGCAACCCGCCUACAUGAAGUCGGAAUUGCUAGUAAUCGCAGAUCAGCAUGCUGCGGUGGAUACGUUCCCGGGCCUUGUACACACCGCCCGUCACGCCAUGGGAGUCGGUAACACCCGAAGCCUGUAGUCUAACCGCAAGGAGGACGCAGUCGAAGGUGGGAUUGAUGACUGGGGUG
rnacentral:rRNA from 1 species